AUUGAACGCUGGCGGCAGGCCUAACACAUGCAAGUCGAACGGUAACAGGAAGAAGCUUGCUUCUUUGCUGACGGGUGGCGGACGGGUGAGUAAUGUCUGGGAAACUGCCUGAUGGAGGGGGAUAACUACUGGAAACGGUAGCUAAUACCGCAUAAUGUCGCAAGACCAAAGAGGGGGACCUUCGGGCCUCUUGCCAUCGGAUGUGCCCAGAUGGGAUUAGCUAGUAGGUGGGGUAACGGCUCACCUAGGCGACGAUCCCUAGCUGGUCUGAGAGGAUGACCAGCCACACUGGAACUGAGACACGGUCCAGACUCCUACGGGAGGCAGCAGUGGGGAAUAUUGCACAAUGGGCGCAAGCCUGAUGCAGCUAUGCCGCGUGUAUGAAGAAGGCCUUCGGGUUGUAAAGUACUUUCAGCGGGGAGGAAGGGAGUAAAGUUAAUACCUUUGCUCAUUGACGUUACCCGCAGAAGAAGCACCGGCUAACUCCGUG
rnacentral:rRNA from 1 species